rnacentral:lncRNA from 1 species
UCGGGGAAGUGAAAUAAUGGUCUGGGACAAGAGAGUGAACAAGUCUCUGCUGAGAAGGCACUUUUGCUUCACAGCCUGGCCCUGAGGAGAGAGGCCAGUUCCUUUCUGAGGCAGGGGAUAGGGCUGAGACUGUGCUCGUUUGCUGUGGUGCACAGAGAGACCAAAGGAUUGCCAACGAUCAGUUCAAAACAGCUUCAAGGCUAAAGGUCUCCUCUGGGUAACAUGCAGUGAUGGUUUGGAUCUGUAAAGGGACUCCUUACCACAAAGAUCUUUGCUCCUUCUUACCACAAAGAUCUUUCCAGCUUGGAGCAGCCUCCUGAUUUCUCCCGUGCUCAGGAUCAUUGCAGCAAGUUAAGUGGUGUCUGCUGCCACCACUGACACUGGGAUUCUCAUGACCACCAUGAUUUCAGAGCUGGUUUAAACACACUGUCCUGCUUGGUUUUGGCAUGGAGUCAUUCUAGCCUAGCAGGAAAGCAAGGCCAGUGUUCAAUAAUUGGAAUUAAUUAAUGAAUCAUUCAUUAACGCAUUUAGAUAACAUUAAAGCAAUUUUCCAUGGUUAAGUAGCUUGAUGAUUGUUAGUGCUGAGUGAUGUAUUGCAAAACCUCUGUGACAGUCAUAUAAUGAGUAAGUAGCUCCUGAAGGGCACUGAAAGGACCUGAGCAUUUAAUUUCUCUGUUCUGUAAAGGAUCCAGACACAACUUCCAGCACUGCAUUAGUCAAGCUGGCUCCGCACCUUCUCUGUGCAUGCAAGAGCUUUUCUACAUGUAAACCUAAAUCUCACAUCUGCCUCUUCCUCUGCAGCAGUGUUCCUCAGUGAAGGACCCAAACCUUGAGCUAUUUGGGCAGGGACUGCUGUUUGCUGGGUGUGUCACCUCCUCCUCACUGUAGGGAGAAGGUCAGUCUGGAGCAGGGUUUCAUAGGGAAGAGCUGGGCUCAUUCACGG